rnacentral:rRNA from 1 species
UAUGCUUCUUCGGGAGCAGAGACCGGCGCACGGGUGCGUAACGCGUAUGCAAUCUACCUUUCACAGAGGGAUAGCCCAGAGAAAUUUGGAUUAAUACCUCAUAGUAUAGCAGUUUCGCAUGAAACCACUAUUAAAGUCACAACGGUGAAAGAUGAGCAUGCGUCCCAUUAGCUAGUUGGUAAGGUAACGGCUUACCAAGGCAACGAUGGGUAGGGGUCCUGAGAGGGAGAUCCCCCACACUGGUACUGAGACACGGACCAGACUCCUACGGGAGGCAGCAGUGAGGAAUAUUGGACAAUGGGCGCAAGCCUGAUCCAGCCAUGCCGCGUGCAGGAUGACGGUCCUAUGGAUUGUAAACUGCUUUUAUACGAGAAGAAACCCUCCGACGUGUCGGAGCUUGACGGUAUCGUAAGAAUAAGGAUCGGCUAACUCCGUGCCAGCAGCCGCGGUAAUACGGAGGAUCCAAGCGUUAUCCGGAAUCAUUGGGUUUAAAGGGUCCGUAGGCGGUCAGGUAAGUCAGUGGUGAAAGCCCAUCGCUCAACGGUGGAACGGCCAUUGAUACUGUCUGACUUGAAUUAUUAGGAAGUAACUAGAAUAUGUAGUGUAGCGGUGAAAUGCUUAGAGAUUACAUGGAAUACCAAUUGCGAAGGCAGGUUACUACUAAUGGAUUGACGCUGAUGGAC